rnacentral:rRNA from 1 species
AACGAACGCUGGCGGCGUGCCUAACACAUGCAAGUCGAGCGCGAAUGGAGCAAUCCUAGUAGAGCGGCGCACGGGUGCGUAACACGUGGAUAAUCUGCCUGGGUGUCUGGGAUAACCAGUCGAAAGACUGGCUAAUACCGGAUAAGACCACGGUCUCUUCGGAGGCUGUGAGAAAAGGUGGCCUCUGUAUACAAGCUAUCACAUCCAGAUGAGUCCGCGGCCCAUCAGCUAGUUGGCGGGGUAAUGGCCCACCAAGGCGACGACGGGUAGCUGGUCUGAGAGGACGAUCAGCCACACUGGAACUGAGACACGGUCCAGACUCCUACGGGAGGCAGCAGUGGGGAAUUUUGCGCAAUGGGCGAAAGCCUGACGCAGCAACGCCGCGUGAGGGAUGAA